rnacentral:rRNA from 1 species
AGUCGAGCGAGCGGAACUAAAGAUUUACUUCGGUAAUGACGUUAGGAAAGCGAGCGGCGGAUGGGUGAGUAACACGUGGGGAACCUGCCCCAUAGUCUGGGAUACCACUUGGAAACAGGUGCUAAUACCGGAUAAGAAAGCAGAUCGCAUGAUCAGCUUUUAAAAGGCGGCGUAAGCUGUCGCUAUGGGAUGGCCCCGCGGUGCAUUAGCUAGUUGGUAAGGUAAAGGCUUACCAAGGCGAUGAUGCAUAGCCGAGUUGAGAGACUGAUCGGCCACAUUGGGACUGAGACACGGCCCAAACUCCUACGGGAGGCAGCAGUAGGGAAUCUUCCACAAUGGACGCAAGUCUGAUGGGGCAACGCCGCGUGAGUGAAGAAGGUUUUCGGAUCGUAAAGCUCUGUUGUUGGUGAAGAAGGAUAGAGGUAGUAACUGGCCUUUAUUUGACGGUAAUCAACCAGAAAGUCACGGCUAACUACGUGCCAGCAGCCGCGGUAAUACGUAGGUGGCAAGCGUUGUCCGAAUUUAUUGGGCGUAAAGCGAGCGCAGGCGGAAGAAUAAGUCUGAUGUGAAAGCCCUCGGCUUAACCGAGGAACUGCAUCGGAAACUGUUUUUCUUGAGUGCAGAAGAGGAGAGUGGAACUCCAUGUGUAGCGGUGGAAUGCGUAGAUAUAUGGAAGAACACCAGUGGCGAAGGCGGCUCUCUGGUCUGCAACUGACGCUGAGGCUCGAAAGCAUGGGUAGCGAACAGGAUUAGAUACCCUGGUAGUCCAUGC